AGAGUUUGGAGGAGUGGUUGUUUAACUGGAACAGCAACAAACAUGUUGGAAUGCAGUCGAUCAGGUAAGUUAACUUCAAAUCGAAACUUCACAUUUUCCUUUCAUCGACUGUACUUCUUUUCUGUCUGGAAUCGCUGUGUGUUGAAUUGUGAGAUCAGCUUUUAUUGAUUAAUUUCGCAGAUAAAGCUAACAGGAUAGCAUGAUAAGUGAACACAGAUGCAGGACAUAAAGUGUGUGAUUGUCGGGGAAGGGGCUGUGGGAAAAACAUGCCUCCUGAUGAGCUACACCACCGGGGCUUUUCCAGAGGUGUUUGUCCCCACUGUGUUUGAGAAUUACUCUGCCAAUGAGACGGUCGAUGGGAAUCCAGUGAAACUGGCACUGUGGGAUACAUCAGGGGCAGAGGAAUACGACAGGCUUCGACCACUUCAGUACCCUCAGACGGAUGUGGUUUUGAUCUGUUUCUCUCUUGUGAAUCCAGACUCGUUUGGGAAGGUCCGUGAAAAAUGGUUUCCAGAGGUCAGACAUUUUUGCCCCAACACUCCAAUAAUUCUCAUUGGGACUAAACUUGAUCUGAGAGAUGACAAGGACACCGUUGAAAGGCUGAAAAAGAUGAAACUGACCCCCAUCACCUAUGCUGAAGGUCUGGAUAUGACCCAAGAAAUAGGAGCUGUGAAUUACCUGGAGUGCUCAGCCUUAAAACAGACGGGCAUUAAGAAAGUGUUCGAUGAAGUCAUUCAUGCGGUUCUAUACCGGGGUCCAGUGAAGAAAAGAAAGAGAAAGUGUUUAUUGCUCUGAACUGACUGAACACACACCAGCUGUAAUCUGAGCUCACCUGAGAGGCAGGGAUGAUGGGAAGAAGAAACUAUGAGAGUGUUCAGGAAAUAAAACAUAUUGAAUCAAGUGACAACAAAUAAAAUAGAGAUGACACUGCAUUAAGGCUGUAAGUUGUAAGUAAAGACCCUCACCAGGUAUUAAUAAGAUUUAUAACCAUUGUUCUUCCUCCAAUAAAAGGAGUUUCAUGCACAGCAAUUUCCCAUAUAUGGGUGACAUAUUUUUUUGCAAGGUAUGUAGCUGUUGUAUACUUGAAUUAUACUUGUUCACCGUUUUCCUACUUUGCAGAAGCACAUCUACUAGGGGGAGAUUUGACCUUCUCAUGCACAGAGACCAAUAUCGCACACAUGCAUGCAGACCUGGGUCUGUGUCUUCUAAAUGAAUCAGGUUUUUUAUUAUAUUAAUAAGACCACAAUGGUGACUUCAAACAAAACCAUUGUCUUUAAUAGAA